GACAGAGGUGCCAAGCGUUAGGCGGAAUCACUGGGCUUAAAGCGUGUGUAGGCGGAUCGUUAAGUACCUUGUGAAAUCCCACGGCUCAACCGUGGAACUGCUGGGUAUACUGGGCGUCUUGGGCCAUUCAGGGGCGACUGGAACAAGCGGUGGAGCGGUGAAAUGCGUAGAUAUCGCUUGGAACGCCGAAGGUGAAAACAGGUCGCUGGGGAUGUGCCGACGCUGAGACACGAAAGCCAGGGGAGCAAACGGG
rnacentral:rRNA from 1 species